CAAACUUUUAGCACUUGAUGUUCCCAGAGUAUUUGUUCUCAGCUAUAGCUCAUUAAAUGAGCUGCUCCACUACUGAGUCUAUAAAUUGAAACAAAAGCAAAGAGCUCUUUUUUUUUUCUUUCUUCAAAGUAGAUGGCUCCAAACGGAAAUGCACUUAAGUCUGGGUUUGCUACAAGUUUUUCUUACACAUAGUGGGUAUUCGGCAGAAUAAAUGCAUGUCGUUAAUCCAGCCGUUUUUCAAUACCAAUCUGGUUGGGACAUCUCUGGGUUGGAGGCGUGGAACCAUGACUGUUAACUGGUAACUGGAUGAGGCUGAAGGGAGACCAUGCAAAAGACCCUUGCAGGCAGGCACACAAUGGCUGGAGGUCGAGAGAAAGAAAUUGGUGGAAGAAGACACAGCAGCUGGAUGGCGAAAGGACAGCAAGGGGAGCGCACCUGCGGAAGGGCACCUCGCAUUCUGCUGGCAGUUCACGGACCUGAGGAACAAGGUGGAGUUUGGCUGCGGCAGCGGAAGGAGAGCCAGGGCCACCUAGCGCCGCGACUCCAGGGGAAAACCGUCUCCCUUCUGGCUCCGCCAUCUGCUGAGAGCUACUUCCACUCAAUAAAACCUGGCGCUGAUUCUCCAAGCCCACGUGUGAUCUGAUUUUUUCCGGUACAUCAAGGCAAGAACCCAGGAUAGGAAAGCCCUCUGUCCUUGCAUAAGGCAGGGGUCUAUGUACAC
rnacentral:lncRNA from 1 species